GAUUAAGUUUUAAUUCGUGUAUGUCUCAAAUGCUCGCGAGUAACUCGACUUAAAAUGAGUCCACUGAGUCGAGUUAAAUUCGAGUACUAUAAAACGAGUCGAAUUUGAAUCUGAGCAAAUAUUGUAAAAUUAUAUUCGAACUUGAUUACGAAUCAUAACAGUUCUAAAAAAUUUCGAGUAGAAUCUGAAGAAUACAAUGUUUAAAUUGACUCGGGAUCAUUUUCAC
rnacentral:lncRNA from 1 species